AAUUUGGCAGUCUCCAGAAAACCAGAGCACAUGGUCCCAAUAACUACAGCUAAAAGCUACCUUGGAUUUUGAUGCCUAAGAACAUUCUCUGACAGGUUGGAAAUAAAAUUAAAUAAAGGAUUGAUUUUCAAAUAAUGUGGUAUGGCAGUGAUAUCAGACGUGGAGAGAGAAUGGGUUAACUUUGAACAAUCUGAAUACCAAUCCUUCCUCAAGGCCCAACAACGAAAACAGUACCUCUUGCUUGGAGAGUUAAAUUUCUUGCAUUCAGUACACUGCCACUCAUCCUACAAAGACAAGUGAAGCCAAUUAAUACUCAGGGGGUUAAUAUGAUGCUGAGAAAAAGGAAAGGAGGUCAAAUUCAUUCACAUCCUCUCACUAAGCUAUUCCACACCAGUGAUCUAGCCUAGGAUUUGAGCAAAUUCUACAGCCACAUGAAGGAAAGUCUUUGGAAGGUUUACACUGAUAGUGCCACAACUGCUAUUUUCAAGCCAAAAUCUGAUAUAGUUAUCUUUAAGAAAGUGGCUUUAAGAAAGGUGGCUUUCUACCUCAUCUCGGUGAAAUUUACAUUGUUUGCUGUACCUUAUGGGCUUCUUUGGAGUUAUUUUUCUUUGCACAACUUACUCCUUUAUCGGGCAAGAGGCUGAAGAAUGAAGAGAAUACUCUGUCAUUCUUUUCUACACUAAUAGCAAAUGUUAUAAAGUUUGGCAAAAAAGAAAGCUAAAACAAAUGAGAUUUGAAAACGACUAAAUUUACUCAUGCACUCUCAUUGCACCCAGAAUUAUAGGUGUAACUGUAUGCCUAAAUCAUGCCCUCUGAAAAAUAAAUGUUAUUGUCCUUGAAUGCCAAGUAAUUUUUCCCUACUUCUCCAUAUUCAAAUUAGGAGACACUAGAUCUCAAUGAAUUUUAAAUGCUUUGCUUAAUUCAAAAAUAGCUACAGGGAACAAGAAAGAAUAUUUAAUGCGGUUAACUGGCUUUGACAGGAUUUGAUUUGACAUAAGCUGAACUUGAUUACUUUUAGGUCAAAGGCCAAGCACUUCAAGUCUAGAAGUCAUAACUCAAUUGUCCAGACUGAGGCAAGGGCACAACCAUGUGUUAAACUGGGAUUCCAGAUGGCCUCAAAACACUCUUGCCAGUCUAAGAUCUUCCAAUCUCAUUUAAAAUGCUAUACAAAUAAUCAAAGGAACUUCAUAAAGAUUUGGAAUUCAUGAGUGAUGGUGUGCCACAGUUUAAUUGGCAUCACUUUUUCUUAGUAGGACAUAAAAUAAUAGGGCUUAUUAAAUUCAAUGGCAUCUUUGAUAUGAUGAAAUACAGUCCAUUUGCUUAAUAGGUUUUCUGCACCCAAGUAGCCACAGAAGUCUGAUUAAGAUGGAAACAUGGCCGGGAGUGGUGGCUCACGCCUGUAAUCCCAGCACUGUGGGAGGCUGAGGCGGGCGGAUCACCUGAGAUCAGAAGUUCAAGACCAGCCUGACCAACAUGGAGAUCCUCGUCUCUACUAAAAAUACAAAAUUAGCUGGGCAUGGUGGCACAUGUCUGUAAUCUCAGCUACUUGGGAGACUGAGGCAGGAGAAUCGCUCGAAGCCGGGAGGCGGAAGUUGCAGUGAGCCGAGAUUAUGCCAUUGCAUUCCAACCUUGGCAACAAGAGUGAAACUCCAUCUCAAAAAAACAGAUGGAAACAUUUAUCUCUGUUAUUUGUAUUACAGUCAAGAACACUUACUGGACCAAUAUAUUUUACUUUAUUACUAAGCUACACACAGAUCAUUGGCAAUGAACUACCAUAAUGCUCAACAGUGGUGUGGUGGGAAUGGGGGAAGGAUCAACACCAGAAACAACCUAAAAAUGUUUCUCUUUCCAAGCAGCAAAAUGUAAAAUCCCCUUCUUAUCCUUCCUCCACCAACCUUUUUCCCAUAGUGUGUUACCUGUGGCAAGACUAAAAGAAACAUGGGGAAAUAGCAACAAAAAAGCAAGGUAUACAUUUGGGUCUAGACUUGAGUUGUCAACUAGUGACAAAUCCAUCCCUAUUAACCUAAGAGUGGAAUAUCAAGUCUUCUUUAAUAGUCCUCCAUUAAUACUAAUCUGUGUGGAAAUUAAGCUGUUUUCCAUUUGCUUCUUUUUAAGAAAACAAUGACAAUAUUAUUUUUAUAUUCAACAAAUAAUUUUAGAUAGCCUAUGGGUCUGUCUUUGGGAUUGCAGAGAGGUGUUGAGUCAGGGAAAGCAGUGCAAGACUAUUUUGAAUAACUUUGUGUCUCCAGAGAGAUUUGAUGGCAGGGAGAAAGGCACACAGAGGCAUUUAUCUCAUCCUUUUCAAGGUAGGGAGAGGAUAAGAUCAAAUUAUCCCCUUCCCUUCUUAAGUUCCAAUAAAAAUCUCUUAAAAAAAUGUAAAGAAACCAACAUCACUUAGCAACUAGGCAAGGGAGACAGAAAUGAGGGGUAAACAGCACUCUUCAACACAAGUGAACUGCUGGGAUUACAUCAUCUGAAGAUGGGGCUGGUGCAAAAUAGUUCUUGCUAAAGAUUCAUACCUCAGAGGUAACCUCUACAUCGGUAUCAUCACUUAAGGACUUAGAGUCCUCCAGGUCAUCAUUUUUUCCCACUUCAAUCACCUGUGAAGGCAAAAACAUCUCAUUAGUAAUGUUUACUUGUUUUAGAUGAGGCUAAUUAACUGAAAGCAAAAAAGACAACUGCUUCAAUUUAAAACUCACAUUCUUCUCCCAUCUCUAGCACUUAAGGAGACAGCUUAAAUGCAAGACCAAACACAUGAUUCUGUACUUCUAGUUGGCAUUUCAGUAGUAGCACAAACGACAGAAAAGCACCCAGAAGAGUUACCAAAUAAAUUUUGCAUUCAGAAGAGAGAAGAUGCCCAUAUUUAUGACUUUAAAGAAAAUAGCUGGGCAUGGUGGCUAUUUUACAGCCAGGUGCCUAUAAUUUCAGCACUUUGGGAGGCCAAGGCAGGAGGAUACCUUGAGCCCAGGAGUUUGAAACUGGCCUAGGCAACAGAGCAAGACCCUGUCUCUGCAAAAAAUAAAAAAAAUUAGCCAGGUGUGGUGGUGCACGCCUGUAGUCCCAGUUACUUGGGGGCUGAGACAAGAGAAUCGCUUGAGCCCAAGAGUUCCGGCUUGCAGUAAGCUAUGAUCUCACCACUGCACUCCAGCCUGGGUGACAGAAUAAGAGCUUGUCUCUAAAACAAUUUAAAAAUAAAUAAAUAAAUAAUUUCAGAGUAGAAAAGCUCCAAAUUGUUAAACGUGCAAUUUUUUAUCUAAGCAGACAGGAAGAAUGAAACAAAGUAUCUUAAAAAUUUACUUUUCACUUUCAAAAGUGAAACUAGUUAUGUGAUACUCUGGCUGUCCUAUAAAAACAUGCCCACAGAAACAGAAACAAACAAAAAAAGUCCGUUUCAAAAGUAAGGAGUGUUCUAAAUUUUAAAAUUUAGAAUUUAAAAAUUUAAAGCCCUAGUUUUGUGGUCCAAUAAAAAGAAUAAAACCAAUUAUGAAACAAUUAUGAACCUCUGUACAGCAACCUUCUCACAAAUGGCCAAGUAUUUUAAGUCCCAUCUCUCUCUAUAGACGUUUCCUAGGCCAGGUAUGGCUGCACAUGCCUGUGACCCCAGCUACUUGGGAGGCUGAAGUGGAAGGACCACUUGAGCUAAGAAGUUUAAGACCAGGUUGGGCAAAACAGUGAGAUCCCAUCUCAAAAAUAAAUAAAUAAAAGUUUCCAAAUGUCACUUUUGUCUUAAUUCAAGCCACCUGCAUUCCUUCUAAUGCUACCCAUAUAACUAGUCUAAGAGAACCCAGGUACCAUUUGACUACAACGAAUAUACUAGGGUAUCCUUCAGGAACUCAAAAUUCUUAUGAAAAUCCCUUAAAUAACUAAAAAGGAUGACCCAAUUUUUUCUUUGCUGUAUUUAUCCGAUGGAUGUUUACCAACACUCUUCUACAUGCUGGCC
rnacentral:lncRNA from 10 species